ensembl:lncRNA novel transcript
CAGAGAAUGAAAGAUGGAAGAAAUGAAGUAGUGGACAAGCAAACAUCAAUGUGGAGACAGAUUCUCAUUUUCCCCAUUUGGUCUUGGCUGCUUAAGAAAAGGUGAAAAGCAGGAGAAGAUGCUUCCCGGUACUGCAACGUAGGGCAAAGUGGAGCUGACAAAUGGAAAGAAUGUGACCUUGGGAAUGAGAUUCUUGCCUUUUCUGAGAUACUCGUACCUGGCUGGUAUCAGUUCUGUCAGACACAGCACUUCCCACGUAAGAGGGAACACGCCCAGGUGGACAGCGGUACUGCAGGACGCGAGAUGCACAAGGCAGAGGAAGAGCAAGGGCACUGCAGGCACUCGGGAAGGUGUCUCUAGAAAGUCUAAUCUGGAUUCCGCGGGAUAGGAAAGUGCCCUCUCCGGGAGAGCUAAGAAUAGAGACAAGUCAGCCGGGGUCGGGGCCAGUACCCAGAAAACGGCAUGGCCUAUUCUAGGGAUUCAAAGAUAUUCACCAGCAUUUAGAAUGUGGGGGUGGGAGAUUACAAAAGAUUGGCAAGGGUAAAAUCUUGCAAGAUAUUUGAACCAUAUUAAACCAACUUUUGCCUGAAAGCAAUAGAAAGCCAUUGAAAAAUUUUAGGCAGAGGAAUAGAUUCUUGUCAUCUCUACAUUGAAAAUAAUCCACCCAAAUUACCAUUUGAUCCAGCAAUGCCCCUUCUGGGUGUAUAUAUACCCAAAAGAAUUAAAAGCAGGGUCUCAAAGGGAUAUUUGUACACUCUUGUUUAUGGCAGCAUUAUUGACAAUAGCUGAGAGGUGGAAGCAGCCAAAUGUCCAUCAACAGAUGAAAGGAAAAACCAGAUG